CGCCCAUCGUCUGAGAUGUGGGGAGCACCUCUGCCCCGCCGCCCCGUCUGGGAUGUGAGGAGCGCCUCUGCCCAGCUGCGACCCCGUCUGGGAGUUGCUGCCUCCCUGACUUGGUCUCAUUGUCCUCAAAUCAGACCUGCAGCUACGGUCCAAAGCAUCUGUAAACUUCAUCCUCAAAUGCACAGGAUCCACUGAGGACCCAACUUGUACUGCUGAGAACUAACCUACCUUCUGAACAAGGAGUCUGAUGUUUCUUUGGGAUCAUUGUUAGAAUGCCAGAUAAAAUAACAUGUAAGAGUUCAUUGUAGAUCACACAGUCUGAUCCGAGGAAGCAAUAAUCCCUUCUUUUAAAUGCAUUUUCUAGUCACAGUGUCCUCUGUCCAGGUGCUGAUCUCCCACUCUAGAAGGAGGAAUCAGCAAUGGCUGAAGGCACAGGUCUCCCAGGUUCACAGUCCCACUGCCGGGCAAUUAAAAAGCCUUGGUACAUCACACUCUGGGGACUGUUGUGGGGUGGGGG
rnacentral:lncRNA from 1 species